UACGAAGGGGGCUAGCGUUGCUCGGAAUGACUGGGCGUAAAGGGCGCGUAGGCGGAUGGCACAGUCAGAUGUGAAAUUCCCGGGCUUAACCUGGGGGCUGCAUUUGAUACGUGUUGUCUAGAGUGAGGAAGAGGGUUGUGGAAUUCCCAGUGUAGAGGCGAAAUUCGUAGAUAUUGGGAAGAACACCGGUGGCGAAGGCGGCAACCUGGUCCUUGACUGACGCUGAGGCGCGAAAGCGUGGGGAGCAAACAGG
rnacentral:rRNA from 1 species